rnacentral:lncRNA from 1 species
UGUUGAUGGCAAAAUUCCCCUACUACAAUAGUAGUCACCAGCAACAGAAUCUCGAUCAACGCGUAGUAGUAAUUCCUCCUUCCUCCUGCCAAAAGAUGUCCGGAUGGGUUGUUCGAACACACCCUCCGAUGAUUAAGUUAGUCUUUUGGAAGUUGUUGGAAAAUAGAGUUUUCCUCUGGGAGUGUUGCUCCGUGAUUUUCGUCAAGGAUGCUUACCUUCCUGAGAGUCUCCUUAGAGUUUAUAUAUGAGUCAGAAAGUAUGGCCCCAUUGUGCUAGCGGGUCCCAUCGUCAUGAUUGCGGCUCAUAGGGUGGCAAAGCAAUCAUGACAUUU